rnacentral:rRNA from 1 species
GACGAACCGUGCGAACGUUGUUCGGAAUCACUGGGCUUAAAGGGCGCGUAGGCGGGCUCACAAGUCAGGGGUGAAAGCCCACGGCUCAACCGUGGAAGGGCCUUUGAUACUGUGGGCCUCGAGGGGGGUAGGGGCGUGCGGAACUUCCGGUGGAGCGGUGAAAUGCGUAGAUAUCGGAAGGAACAUCGGUGGCGAAAGCGGCGCGCUGGACCCCUUCUGACGCUGAGGCGCGAAAGCCAGGGGAGCAAACGGG